GGCCCUGCUUGGUAUAGUAUGAACACAAGCCAUAAUGAGGAUCGCAACAAUACAGCAAUAACAUGCUAUUUUCACGAAGUUUUGCAGCCUGACAAUCUUGUAUUUCCAAUGCUUUCAUAUUUGUUUACUCAGAGAGAUGGUCACUCCACGACAGUCAAAGAGUCAUUGAAGCCACGCCUGGAAUUAGGCACUCAAACCCAUGAUGCUUUGCGGCCUGCUUGUCGAACCUCCUCUGGUUAAUUGGUUAACGGCAGGGACUUGUUAAAACAAUGACUUUCAUUGGCUGUUUGUCCUUCAAGAUAUUAUCGUUCAGAAUCCGUACAGGCCAUGGCGCUGUUGUUUAAAUAUAAUAUUAUAUUUAUAACAUAUUCAAGCGUAAAUAUAUAUGCCUCUAGUUUUACGACUUGCGAGUUUUGCGAGGA